rnacentral:rRNA from 1 species
AGAGUUUGAUCAUGGCUCAGAGCGAACGCUGGCGGCGUGCCUAACACAUGCAAGUCGAACGUGAAAUGUAGCAAUACAGAGUAAAGUGGCGUACGGGUGAGUAACACGUAGGUAAUCUACCUGAGUGUCUGGAAUAACCGGCCGAAAGGCUGGCUAAUACUGGAUAGAGCGACGGGACCCGUGAACGGGUCUUUCGGGAA